rnacentral:rRNA from 1 species
AACGAACGCUGGCGGCAUGCCUAACACAUGCAAGUCGAACGAGACCUUCGGGUCUAGUGGCGCACGGGUGCGUAACGCGUGGGAACCUGCCUUUAGGUUCGGAAUAACUCAGAGAAAUUUGAGCUAAUACCAGAUGAUGUCUUCGGACCAAAGAUUUAUCGCCUUUAGAUGGGCCCGCGUUGGAUUAGCUAGUUGGUGGGGUAAAGGCCUACCAAGGCGACGAUCCAUAGCUGGUCUGAGAGGAUGAUCAGCCACACUGGGACUGAGACACGGCCCAGACUCCUACGGGAGGCAGCAGUGGGGAAUAGUGGACAAUGGGCGAAAGCCUGAUCCAGCAAUGCCGCGUGAGUGAUGAAGGCCUUAGGGUUGUAAAGCUCUUUUACCCGAGAUGAUAAUGACAGUAUCGGGAGAAUAAGCUCCGGCUAACUCCGUG